GAUGAAGAACGUAGCGAAAUGCGAUACUUGGUGUGAAUUGCAGAAUCCCGUGAACCAUCGAGUCUUUGAACGCAAGUUGCGCCCGAAGCCAUUAGGCCGAGGGCACGCCUGCCUGGGCGUCACACGUCGUUGCCCCCCCAUCUACUCCUUCGGGAUUGCGGGGGGUGGAUGAUGGCCUCCCGUGCGCCUCGUCGCGCGGUUGGCAUAAAUGCCAAGUCCUCGGCGACGCACGCCACGACAAUCGGUGGUUGCGAAACCUCGGUUGCCCGUCGUGUGCGGUCGUCGCGCAUCGAGGGCUCGAAAAAAUUGCCGGGCUCCGGCUCGGCUUUCAACGCGACCCCAGGUCAGGCGGGGUUACCCGCUGAAUUUAAGCAUAUCAAUAAGCGGAGGA
rnacentral:misc_RNA from 1 species